GGAGGUAGUGACGUGAAAUAACGAUGCGGGACUCUUCCGAGGCCUCGCAAUCGGAAUGAGUUAACUUUAAAUCCUUUCGACGAGGAUCGAUUGGAGGGCAAGUCUGGUGCCAGCAGCCGCGGUAAUUCCAGCUCCAAUAGCGUAUAUUAAAGUUGCUGCGGUUAAAAAGCUCGUAGUUGAAUCUCACGAUUCAACAGGAAGUGAGCGCCGUGGUGGUAGUAGUAGUAGCAAUUACAUUUUGCUACUACUAGAAUUCACCUUCUCAUUCGUCUCGUUACGGUAGAAGAAGAAGGAGGAUGUCAAAAGCUCGAACAGGGUGUUAAUAAGACGGUACGAGUUAAUGUUUCAAAAGUGGUGGUAGCGGAGGCGGUCGUCGUUGCUGCUUCUACUGCUGCAGCAGCAGGAAGAAGGUUUUGAUAUUAUAAUAAGACUACCUCUUCCACCUCCUCCGCCGCUGAUGUUGCUGCUGCUGCUGCUGCUGCUGCUGCUGGCUCUCGCGCGCUCGCGUUCGGUCGGCAACUUCACUUUGACAAAAUUAGAGUGCUCAGAGCGGGCAAGAUCUGAAGCCCGAAUGGAGGUGCAUAGAAUGAUCUAAGAUGACCUCGCGAUCUAAACGUUUGUCGGUUUAUGGGGUCGCGAGGUAAUGAUUAAA
rnacentral:rRNA from 1 species